rnacentral:rRNA from 1 species
CGUCCAGACUCCUACGGGAGGCAGCAGUGGGGAAUAUUGCACAAUGGGCGCAAGCCUGAUGCAGCCAUGCCGCGUGUAUGAAGAAGGCCUUCGGGUUGUAAAGUACUUUCAGCGGGGAGGAAGGCGAUAAGGUUAAUAACCUUGUCGAUUGACGUUACCCGCAGAAGCAGCACCGGCUAACUCCGCGCCAGCAGCCGCGGGAAUACGGAGGGUGCAAGCGUUAAUCGGAAUUACUGGGCGUAAAGCGCACGCUGGCGGUCUGUCAAGUCGGAUGUGAAAUCCCCGGGCUCAACCUGGGAACUGCAUUCGAAACUGGCAGGCUGGAGUCUUGUAGAGGGGGGUAGAAUUCCAGGCGUAGCGGUGAAAUGCGUAGAGAUCUGGAGGAAUACCGGUGGCGGAGGGGGCCCCCUGGACAAAGACUGACGCUCAGGUGCGAAAGCGUGGGGAGCAAACAGGAUUAGAUACCCCUGUAUGA